AGAGUUUGAUCCUGGCUCAGGACGAACGCUGGCGGCGUGCUUAACACAUGCAAGUCGAACGAGGCACUUGUGCCUAGUGGCGAACGGGUGAGUAACACGUGAGCAACCUGCCCUUGGCUCUGGGAUAGCCUCCGGAAACGGGGAUUAAUACCGGACAUGACCUGCUGCGGCAUCGCGGCGGGUGGAAAGUUUUUCGGCCA
rnacentral:rRNA from 1 species